GUUUUGUUUCUUCUUUCUUCUGGCUUCUUUGUAAUGAAGAAUUAGUCUCCGAACCACCAUGAGCAUAUGCCUUGUGUACUUGGAUCACCCAGUUACUCCUGGUUGCCAGCAAAGGAUUGAGUGCUCAUUGAUAUCCCCAAAUUUUAUUUACAAACCCUGAUAGGUUCAUUGCGAAUGAGUGAACUUCCGUUCGUGCCUUCUGCAGUUUUUUCAAGCAACUACUUGAAAUGUUUUCUCUGCAGUUGGCUCACAAGUUUUAAUUUCAUGACUUGCGCUUUAGCUUUUAUCCAAUCAAUCAUGGUUUUGGUUUAGUAAAAGUGUCAUCUGGUUGCUUCUGAAAGCAAUUAAGCAGCCAUAUACUCUGUAGGAUGAUUAUCAUUGCAUCCCCCUAUCAUGUUUAAAAUAUUUUGACUUUUUCUACUAAAAUUCAUAUAUCUUAUUCAUGGGGAGCCGGCUAGCUGCUAGCACUUCUAAUUAUG